AUAGAAUCAACCAAAAUAUAUGAACUUAUGGCAAGGAAAUCGAGACAGUCUCACCCCUACUGGACUGAAGCAUGGGACCUGUGGGACAAAACUAGGCCGCACCAACCAUAUAUAACACAACCCUGAAGCUGGAAACGGUACCUCCACGGCAGGAGGCUGAACUCAUUGCAAAUGACAGACUGAUACCUCACCACACUACUCCACACGGCAUACACACUCAUCCCAAUUCCCCUCCUAUCCCCUACCACCGCUAUGACGAGACAUCCAUAACCAUAUGCAACGCAAUAACCGGGGCCACGCUAAGCUCUGCCCGGCCCGCACGACCCCAUGACGAGAAAGCUCAUACUACACCAUUAAAAAGGAUGACACUAUGCACAAGACGCCCCUCACACCAACAAGGUGCUGUUACUAAGGGAUAACUACAACUGUGCAAACCCUGACAAACUACUGUAUUCAAACUGCAAUGCCUUAUGUGAUGUUAACCCACCCUAUUUACCUUCUGUACCCCCACCCCUUUCUCGACAAAAUAAAAAUUGUCAAAUUCAAAAAAAAAAA